rnacentral:RNase_P_RNA from 1 species
UCUGUUAACCGUUCUAUCGCUUUGAAAAAAGAGGAAAGUCCGGACAACGUAGAGCGCCACACCAUCUAACGGAUGGGUUCAUGGAUUUCAUGAAACAGAUAGUGCCACAGAAAACUAGACUUUCAUACUUAGGUAUGAUAAAGGUGAAAACGUGUGGUAAGAGCGCACGAUGGUAUUUGGUAACAGAUAUCAUGGGUAAACCUUGUGGGUUGCAAUGCCAUGUACACCGGAGCUCCUUUUGGAACAGGGUUGCUCGCUUUGUAUUCGCUUCGGGGGGUAGGCAGCUAGAUCUUACUUGUGAAAGUAAGGCCAGAUAAAUGAUAGAAAUUUUGGGAAACCGAAAUACAGAAUCCGGCUUACAGGUUAACAGGCAUU